rnacentral:rRNA from 1 species
GACGAACGCUGGCGGCGUGCUUAACACAUGCAAGUCGAACGGAAAGGCCCCUUUGGGGGUCCUCGAGUGGCGAACGGGUGAGUAACACGUGAGUAACCUGCCCUUGACUUCGGGAUAACUUCAGGAAACUGGGGCUAAUACCGGAUAGGAAUCCUUGCUGCAUGGUGGGGGUUGGAAAGCUUCGGCGGUUUUGGAUGGACUCGCGGCUUAUCCGCUUGUUGGUGGGGUAGUGGCUUACCAAGGCUUUGACGGGUAGCCGGCCUGAGAGGGCGACCGGCCACAUUGGGACUGAGAUACGGCCCAGACUCCGACGGGAGGCAGCAGUGGGGAAUAUUGCACAAUGGGCGGAAGCCGGAUGCAGCAACGCCGCGGGCGGGAUGACGGCCUUCGGGUUGUAAACCGCUUUCAGCAGGGGCGAAGCUUGUGGUGACGGUACCUGCAGAAGAAGCACCGGCUAACUACGUG